rnacentral:rRNA from 1 species
ACGCUCGACACCUACUGGAGGCAGCAGUAGGGAAUCUUCCGCAAUGGACGAAAGUCUGACGGAGCAACGCCGCGUGAACGAUGAAGGUUUUCGGAUCGUAAAGUUCUGUUGUUAGGGAAGAACAAACUUCGUUUGAAUAAGGCGGAGUCAUGACGGUACCUAACGAGAAAGCCACGGCUAACUACGUGCCAGCAGCCGCGUAAUCUGAGCGGGCUGGCAAGGC